GUUUGAUCCUGGCUCAGAACGAACGCUGGCGGCAGGCCUAACACAUGCAAGUCGAGCGCACCUUCGGGUGAGCGGCGGACGGGUUAGUAACGCGUGGGAAUAUGCCCUUCUCUACGGAAUAGCCUCGGGAAACUGAGAGUAAUACCGUAUACGCCCUUCGGGGGAAAGAUUUAUCGGAGAAGGAUUAGCCCGCGUUAGAUUAGAUAGUUGGUGGGGUAAUGGCCUACCAAGUCUACGAUCUAUAGCUGGUUUUAGAGGAUGAUCAGCAACACUGGGACUGAGACACGGCCCAGACUCCUACGGGAGGCAGCAGUGGGGAAUCUUAGACAAUGGGCGAAAGCCUGAUCUAGCCAUGCCGCGUGUGUGAUGAAGGUCUUAGGAUCGUAAAGCACUUUCGCCAGGGAUGAUAAUGACAGUACCUGGUAAAGAAACCCCGGCUAACUCCGUGCCAGCAGCCGCGGUAAUAAGGGCGAAUU
rnacentral:rRNA from 1 species